rnacentral:rRNA from 1 species
GAUGAACGCUGGCGGCGUGCCUAACACAUGCAAGUCGAGCGAAGCGCUUAAAUUAGCUUUCUUCGGAAUGACGAUUUUUGUGACUGAGCGGCGGACGGGUGAGUAACGCGUGGGUAACCUGCCUCAUACAGGGGGAUAACAGUUAGAAAUGACUGCUAAUACCGCAUAAGACCCCAGCUUCGCAUGAAGCGGUGGUAAAAACUCCGGUGGUAUGAGAUGGACCCGCGUCUGAUUAGCUAGUUGGUAAGGUAACGGCUUACCAAGGCGACGAUCAGUAGCCGACCUGAGAGGGUGACCGGCCACAUUUGGACUGAGACCCGGCCCAGACUCCUACGGGAGGCAGCAGUGGGGAAUAUUGCACAAUGGGGGAAACCCUGAUGCAGCGACGCCGCGUGAAGGAUGAAGUAUUUCGGUAUGUAAACUUCUAUCAGCAGGGAAGAAAGUGACGGUACCUGACUAAGAAGCCCCGGCUAACUACGUG